rnacentral:rRNA from 1 species
UGGGGAAUAUUGCACAAUGGGCGCAAGCCUGAUGCAGCCAUGCCGCGUGUAUGAAGAAGGCCUUCGGGUUGUAAAGUACUUUCAGUCGGGAGGAAGGUGUCAAGGUUAAUAACCUUGGCAAUUGACGUUACCGACAGAAGAAGCACCGGCUAACUCCGUGCCAGCAGCCGCGGUAAUACGGAGGGUGCAAGCGUUAAUCGGAAUUACUGGGCGUAAAGCGCACGCAGGCGGUUGAUUGAGUCAGAUGUGAAAUCCCCGGGCUUAACCCCGGAAUUGCAUCUGAAAAUGGGUAGCUAGAAUAGUGGAGAGGGGGGUGGAAUUCCAAGUUGAGGGGGGAAAUGCGUAGGGAGGUGGGAGAAGACCGGUGGCGAAGGCGGCCCCCUGGACGAAGACUGACGCUCAGGUGCGAAAGCGUGGGGAGCAAACAGG